AUGGAACUUCAACCAGAGCCUUUCAUCCUCAAACUGGAUUGCCUCUUCUUUCAAGCCCUGUUCCUCAAAGAAAAACACAAUCAGGUUGCUUUGAUCUGGAUUCUUCAUUACUACAUCUGAAAAGCUUCUCAUCUAGAAGUCCUCGACCAUGUUUAAACAUUGAAGAUGAUCCAGAUAUUCAUGAAAAACCAUUUUUGAGUUCUAGUGCUCCACCUAUAACAAGUCUUAGUCUCCUAGGAAAUUUUGAGGAAUCUGUCUUGAACUAUCGUUUCGAUCCUCUCGGCAUUGUUGAUGGUUUUACUGCCGAGGUAGGGGCAAGUGGUGCUUUCUGCCCCACACAUUUGACUCUUCCAGUUGAAGUGUCAUUCUACAGUGUUUCAGAUGACAAUGCUCCCUCUCCUUAUAUGGCAAGUAUUUUUUAUAUUGUAUGUUUUCCUGCCAAAUCAACCAACUUAAUGACAAAUUUCUUUAAGUGCUUUGGUGCAGUACUUGAAAGUAUAAAUCAUUUCCUAACAGCUGAAUACAAACUAAUAUGCCAAAAUAUUACCUCACAACUUCCUUCUAAGCUAGUU
rnacentral:sRNA from 1 species